CGCUGGGCACUGCUUCACGGCGUGCGCGGCGGGGCCGGCCCUGCUGAAUUAUUCACCCGUGUCUUUUGCGUACUUCUUGUUUCCUGGGUGGGCUCGCCCGCCCUCAGGACCAACCACAAACCUUUUGCAAUAGCAAUCAGCGUCAGUAACAACGUAAUUAAUUACAACUUUCAACAACGGAUCUCUUGGUUCUGGCAUCGAUGAAGAACGCAGCGAAAUGCGAUACGUAGUGUGAAUUGCAGAAUUCAGUGAAUCAUCGAAUCUUUGAACGCACAUUGCGCCCUUUGGUAUUCCAAAGGGCAUGCCUGUUCGAGCGUCAUUUGUACCCUCAAGCUUUGCUUGGUGUUGGGCGUCUUUUGUCUCCAGUUCGCUGGAGACUCGCCUUAAAGUCAUUGGCAGCCGGCCUACUGGUUUCGGAGCGCAGCACAAGUCGCGCUCUUUGCCAGCCAAGGUCAGCGUCCAGCAAGCCUUUUUUUCAACCUUUGACCUCGGAUCAGGUAGGGAUACCCGCUGAACUUAAGCAUAUCAAUAAGCG
rnacentral:rRNA from 1 species